GCGGGGCUUAACCGUUGGUACGUCUCGCGGGGCGGGGCCUGACUGUUGGGGCGACCCGCAGUGCAGGGCCCACCCAUGGAUCGUGCCGAGGGGCGGGGCCUGGCCCUUGUGGGGUCUGGUUUUUGAGGUUGUGCUGUCCCCCAAGCUGGGGGGCGAAUUCUGCAGGCUCUGCUGAGUCCUCUCCUUGAGUAAUUUACUGAUAAUUGUUUAUUAAAGGCGUUAUUCCAGCCAUCCCCACAGCGGAUCCUUUCAAGGAGCCAAGGCAGGAAUUAUUACUCCCAUUUAACAGGUCUUAACAUCAGAGGAAAUUUAGAUGGGCUUUUGGUAUUAAUGGAGGAGAGAAAGGGUAGCCCUAGAAUUGAAGCAUGGAAUAAUAGCCUCAGCAAAGACCCGGGAGGGGGUGCUCUGGGAAGGCAAGGGCAUGAGCAAAAAAAGUAAGUGGUAGAUAAGAAUGGAAAGAUCUGGAGAGCCUUGAGAGCCAGCUGAAUCCAACCAGCAGAAAGGAGCCUCUGCUGGUUAUUUCAGGGCGAGUUAGGGCAAAACUGGUGUCUCUGGAAAUUCUCUGGGAAGAUCAGUUGUGUGCCAAAACCAAAGACAGAAGGAAAAUCAGGAGGUGUUUGCAAGGAUCCAAGAAGGAGAUAAUAAGGGCCUGGACUUAGGUGGGCUGGGAAGUGGAAAGGAACUUGAAAAGAUUUUUAACAAGAUAUUUGUGUUUUGAGAUUAUAGAUUCACAAGGAGUUGGAAAAAACGGAACAGGAAGUUUCCACGAACGUUCACCCAGUUUCCCCCAAUGGUAACAUCUUACAUAACUAUAGUGUGAUAUCAAAACCAGGAAAUUGGCCUGGAUACAAUCUACAGAGUUCAUUCAGCUCUAACCGAAAAGGAGAUAUUCUGAAAGACUAAUUGAUAGUAUUUUAAUUAGACCUGCUUGGACAGAAAGGAAAUGUUCCCAGAACAGGGAGCAGUGCUCCAUGGGUCUCCCAGCCCUACAACCCAGAGUAUGGAAGAUGCAGCGGUGAGCAAGGCCUAGCUCUUCCAGUAAGGAGCUCACGGUCUGGUUGAGGAGAGAGACCUCUCAGCAAUGAACUACAGUAGUGCCGGAACAGUCUGAUGACAGAGGGACCUGGCAGCAGAGAGGCAACCACCGAAUUGAGCCUGUGCAGGCCCUUACCGUCCUCAGGGCGCAGCUGCAGGGGCGUGGAGCUGGGCUGAGUCAUGGUGAAGAGCGUGUCGGAGAUGUCGGACAAAAAGCAGUCCAGGUCCAGAAGCUGCCGCCCGCCAGGCUCCUCCUCUGGGCCCCCGAGCAGCACGGGCACCACACUGGAGAAGAGCUGCUCGCACCAUCGCUCCGGUGGUUGCCAACCCCCUUCCGCCUAGGGAGACAGAACCUUCAGCAGCCACGAGAGAGGGACACCGGGGUCUCCCGCUGCCCUUGGCCCUUUCAUAUGGCCCCCGCCUGGGGGAUGAAGUGGUCAGUACAUGGCCCUCCUCACCUCUCUCUCUGGAGGAUCCAGUUUGCCUACUGGAAGGCUUAUGGUCACCCCAUUGGCUUUUAACAACUGUCCCCACGAGCUAGACCUGGAUGGCCUGCUGAACAGAUAAGGGGCCUCUUCCUGUCCCCUAUGCUUUUUCUGCCUGGAACCUCAGUUCUUAGGGACUUCCGUUCUCCGAUGCUUCCCACCACUUCGCUCAAGGACUUCCCACCCCUCAGGAGGAGAAGGGCUCAAUCAACCAGAGGACGGCGGCCACGCCCACUGCCCCCAUCGGGUCCGGCCUCAUCUCCUCGAAGCUGUCAAUUCUCUGGGUCCAGGGAGCACCCACCUGCUUUGGGGUCAGGAGAUCCCCUUCCCUGCUGCACUUACGGAGCUGCAGGAACACACAGAGGUGGACAAUGGAUCCCUUGUCCCUCUUCCAUCACUUCCCGCCAAGGCCUCCCCUACUCACAAGCUCCCCCAGAUGAGAGGGAUGCCGAUUCCCCUCUGGAGCUCCUCCGCGCUGGGAGGUAAGGAGGCUGCGAGGGGACCCUCGGCCACACGGUGGCGCUGUCAGCCUGGGUCUUAAUGGGAGGCAGGGUCGAGGGGCGUCUCGCCCCGGGCUCUUUCAAGAGAGGCAGUGGUCAGCAACCCCCCCGGGCCCCCCCACUGACCCGCUUCUUGUAGUAGAUGCGCCACUUGUGGUACUCGCGCAUCACCACCUCGAUGCGCCGCUUCCAGUAAUUGCCCUCUAGGACCACGGCCUGGAGAGGGCCCGGGAGGGGGCUCAGUGAGACGGGCAGCACGGACCCCACCCCUCACCCGAUCCCCAUCGGGGCCAGCCCCUCCUGCCCGGCACUAGGAGGCACCGGGCUUGGUAGGGGAGCAGGCAGGCGGGAGGUCCUGCGUCUCAGCUACCUCUGGUUUUCGGUGCUCAUCAGCCUCAGGCCCCUGCAGGGGGGUCACGAAGCCACACACGGGGCUCUUCCUCCGCUCCACAUCUGAGAGAAGGGGGCCAGGUCAGGAGGGUACCCAGCUCCAUCACUUCCCACUCCAAGGGGACUGGGACUCAAGUGCCACGCUAGGAAAUCCUGCUUAGACUAAGUACCACCUCCUCCAGAAGUCUUUCUGCCUGCUCCAGCCCUCCCAGAGCUCCCUCUUCAAUGGGACCCCGUGAAAGGAACCUCCCACACCUCCUCUGCCCCCCUUGGCAGCCCAGCAGGUGUGCAGGCAAUGGUUGCUGAAUGGCAUCGUGUGAUCACAGGAAACGAUCUGCUCCAACAUCAGACCCUCAGACCAGCAGGCCAGGGCCUGGAGCCCUUGGUGCCCUGCCUCAGGCACUGCCCAAGCUGAUGCCAGAUAACCACCCCUUGUCCCUUCAGGCCACCUAGCUGAGCCCUUUUGCCACCUCCUCCACUCCCUUCCCUGUCUCCAAUCCUGGUCUCUCCCCAGGUUCCUCCUUUUGGGCCCAUAAACACAUUCCAAGCUCCCCUUUGCCCGCCAAACGUUCCCUUCCUUUGCUUCCCCAACAGGCUAAUCUUCUUCCCUUUCACCCCUUUGUUUUGCUCCUUGUUCUGGAAGGUUUGCCACCACUACCUGCACUCCAUGCCUCCUGGUCUCCUCUUCACUUCCUGUAACUCAGUACCUGCCCCCAGUGCUCUGUCAAGGCCCUUGUCUGCCCCCCCCCCCCAGGGCCCAUCCCUCUGGGCCUCAGCGGUGGAGCACCCCCUCCUCCCUCGACAAGGGAACCUUCCCUUGGUUCUCCUGUUUCCCUGACCAUUUUCACUGGUCCUUCUUUGAGGCCCGCCCCCCAACCUCUCUCAUCCUGCCUCUUUCUAGGCUUAUUUUCCAGCUGCCCACAGAAUCUCCAUCAGGAUGUACCAAAUUAAAAUUAAAAAAAAAAAAAAAAAAAAAAAAAAAAGGAUGUCCCCAAACUGGAAACAUCCCUCCCAAGCCUGUGCCUCUGGGCGGCCACUGCUGCCUCCCAGUCACAGGAACUCCCCACUGGCCCCAGCAUUCCUAUCUAAGUCACUCCGGAGGAUGUGUGGCAUUUCUUCCACUGUCCCCUCCCCUCCAUAUUCAAUGCCACCCUGGCCUGAUGUCAUUUCUCACCCGGACCUCCCUGACUCCAGCCUCACCCUCUCCAGCCCAUCUUCCUGUCAUGGCCUGGAAGUGCAGAAACCCUCCAUGGUUCCCUAGACCUCCAGGAUAAAGUCCACACCUCUUACCUUGGCUUCCAAACCCUCCAUGACUGGCCUGUCGGCUUCAUCCCCCUUUUCACCUCCUUCAUAGGCCCCACCUUGAAGCCAAACGGCUUUUCCCCACCACAGCUCACCUUCCGGUGUUAUUCUACACCGCCCUUCCCUUCCCUCCUCUGCCUCACCCACACCUGCCCACCCAUCAGGAUUGCCCAGGGCCACCCCUCUUCCAGGAAGCUUCCCUCCUCUGAAACCCCGUGGUCUUAUCUGCCUCGCUCUCCACUUGGCCUUGGCCAUUUCUCUGCAUGCUGGCCUCCCUGCCGGGAGUAAAAGCAGGAGCUGUUGCCCUUUAGACUGAAAUUCCUGAAUCUGGAGCAGAGCUUGGCACACAGUAGGGCUUCCAAACCUUGGGCUCCCCAAGCGGUGACUUUUUCCACCUUAGCCCUCAGCAGACUUCCUCUCAGACAAUUGACAGACAAGGGGGACCACCCGAACGUGACACUUAUUGGGACCUUCAGCAUCAUUUACAAAGUUCUGUCCUAAAGGACAUUCUCCCAAAUGAUCCCCAUGAGAAUGGGAGGGGGAGUUUGUCCUGGUACCUGAGCGUGACUGGGAAGACAAAGGGAUGGGCCCUCGGGUGUAGGGACUCCCUGGGGUUAGAGCAAGGAGGGUCUCAAGAGAGUGGCUGUCCUGGCUUCCCAGAUGAGGAGAUGGGCACUAGGAAAGAAUAAGUUUGUCCAGGGUCCCCAGAGGGUCAGGUCUGAGCAGGCCUGGCUGGGCUUUUCCUCCCCCACCUUGGGGACCCUGUGCUCCAGACAGAAGGGCAGUGACCAUGUGGCUCCUGGAUCUGGGGUAGGCUUUAUUCAACACCAAUAAGUUCACCCAUUCAGGCAACCACCUGGCCCCUUGCACCUAAGCUGUGACAGAUACUGGGACAAGGAAUCGGUGGAUAAAUCGGGGCGCUCAAGCUUAGUUGGAGAGAUAAGGAAAGCACACACAGGACACAAGCUAAAGCAAGGUGGGGAGCCUGCCAUGAGAGGUGCACAGUGCCCUGGGUGCUCAGAGGACACCAGGAUUUGGGGGUGUGAGAAAGGAGGGGAUCCUGGAGGCCAGGAGCCUGCAGAGGGGUGGCAGGUUCGAGGGGAUGAGCCAGGCAGUCCUCUAGCUGGCCCCACCCCUCUCCCUUUCCUGAAGCCCACCUUCAAACCCUCAGUGCUCAGGGAGAAGGCGCGUGCUGACAUUUGUUUCAUGCCUGCCGCGUGCUGUUACUAUCAUCACAAAAAUAUCAUCACCUGCGGGGAGCCCUUGUGCGUGUCAGGCCCUGUGCUGAGAUAUGAAUGAUCUCCCUGAAGACUCACAGCGAACCUCAGAGCGGGACCUACUGUUAUUCCCACUCUGCAGAUGAGUGAGCUCCGGCUAAGGAGGCUACGGACUCUCCCAAGGUCACACAGCUGCGGCAUCCUAGAACUUGACUCAACCCGCCUCUGCCUGACACAGAACGUGGGGUGCUUCCAGCAACUCGUGCAAUAGCUGGAGACCAGGGUCUGCCUGUCUGGGUGAGGACUGGAAGCCAGCCAGCUCGGAGCAGUAGAAGGAGCAUUGCGUUCAGAGUAGGAGAGCCCUGGACUUCCAGCUAAUCACAGUUCUGCUUCUUUUAUGCUCCAUGACCCUGAACAGGUUACUGGCCUUCUGGGCCUUACUUGCUCAUCCAUAAAAUGGGAGUGAUAAUAUCUAUCUGCCAAGGUUGCUAGGAAGCCUGAAGUAAGAUGAUUUAGGGAGCACUGGGCACAUAGAUAAAUAGAAACCAGAAAACCCUCCCUCUCUCUGCUUGGAUGGAAUCCAAUGGAGCCAGGACAGAGAAUACUGAGUAUGGUCCCUCCUGGGCUGUGUGUUCCCAGCUCAGGGAAGCCUUUGAUCAAGUGGGACUUGGUUGACCUGGACAAGGUCCCAACCCAGGGCCGACUGGUCUGAGGCCGCUCAGCCUCUGCUGCUGGGCCGUGGUGGGUGGGUGGGUCUCAUAUCCCCAAAUGAAUGACCGUGACCUCCUCAAGGGCAUCUCAGAUUCAACCAUCAUUUAUUUAGCAUCAGUUCUGUGCCAGGCCCAUUCAUACUUGUUAUCACCAUGCCAACCAGGAAAAGUAGGGCUACUGGUCUUAUUUUAUAGAUAAGGAAACAGAUUCAGAGAGGUUAGUCACACGGCCUGCAGUCACACAGCCGGCAAGGGCAGAGACUGGGGAGGAAAGCAGCUCUGGGUAACUCCCAAGUCCGAAGCCCCCUCCACUGUACCACAUGGCCUCUCUGGCCCCUUGUCCCCAGUCUCCAUGGGGGCACCUGAUGGGGGUUCAGUGAGGACUUUAGUGAAAGGCUGGUGGAGACCCAGGCAGGAUCCUUAGCUUCCCCAUUCGCAAUGUGAUGCCAUUGGCCUAGCCAGCAUCUAGCACGUCUUUCCACCCUGGCAUCUGGAGCACUGACUAUGCUGACGGAAUGCAGAAAGGGUCUUGAACUGCCCUCCAAAUCUCUGCCCACCUUAGGAUUCCAAGGGGUGACCCCCGCUGUGCCUAGCAUCCCAGGGCAGAGUACCCUUUGGGACAUGUUCCCCGAGACUCUGGGGGUCAGAUGCUGGUGCUGGCCCUAAGGGGGUUUCCUGGGCACCUCCCACAUGCAGCCCCCCUUGCUGGCGAGGCCCAUGGUGCCCACUCACACUGGAUAUACCAGGCCCUCCAGAUGGCGUUGUUGAGACGGAUCUUGUCCCGGCAGAGCAGCUUGAGGCCUUUGAAGUUCUUCCACUUGGGAGACACCAGCUUGCCACUGUCAGAGGGAGAGGGCUGGGUCAGGCGGUUGGACAAGGGGCAGCUCAGGGAGGCCUCCUGCAGGGCUGGCUCCCCACUCUUCCCAUGCGCUGGUUACUCAUCCAUGCUGGGCAAGCUGAGGACUCCCCUGCAACCCCACAAAUCCUGCCCCUCACUCUGCCUGAAAUCCCUACCCUGAGAGUCAGGCCUUUAAAAAACCCUCCCAGGUCCCUGCUCCAGGCUGAGCUGCUCGUUAACCUACCACCAGAACUAAAACCAGGCUGAAACCUGUUUGUCAGCUCCUUCCUCAGGACAAUAAUACCAUGGCCUCAUGGGCAUCCUUUUCUUAGGCUGGCUAGGGAGGGUUCUCAGAGCCAUUUCUUACAGAGGGAAACUGAGUGCCUGGGAGGGAAAGGGACAUGCCUAAGGUCACAUGGUGGAGACUGAUUCAGGCCCUGUGGCCUUUUCUCCACCAGUUUCACUGGCCCUCUUCGGCCUCCUCCGGGGAUGGGUAAGGUGUGCCUGGGUGAGGAGAGAAUCUCUUCACUACCAGUGGCUUCCAAGCAGCCAGCUGUUGCCUUUUCCCGGCCCUUCUGGUGUCUGCCCGCUCCAGAAUCCCAGGAUGGCAAUCCCAGGAUGGGGUGCACCCCUUCUUAGGGGCGUGUGCAAAACAACAGCCAUCAGGCCCCAAAGGAAGGCAGCUGGGAUGGUGGAGUGGUGGGCAGUGGGGAGGCAGCACCCUUACCCCAGCCCUCACCCUGACCCUAAUCCUAGCAGUCAAUGAAAUCCACUCUCGCAAUGACUCUCCAGGUCAAGAUGUGCUAGGCACAGGCCAGUCUGCUACCGCUAAGGAUCUGACCUAGGAGGUCAAGAUGCUCAGAGUCUAGACCCCCACUGAUCCCUCCCUCCUCCCUCCCUCCUCGUGGUCCACAAGCCAGGGCUGUAUACGAGUCCCCUCUGGCCCAUCUCCUCCAACCCUUGCUCACAUGGAAGGCUGAGGCCUGGGGGACACCAGGCCUGCCUUCUCCCAAGGCUUCUCCCUCAUCGUGGGGGUGAUGGGUAGGUGGGUGGCAAUCUGACUCCUACAGCCCCUGAAACGCAUGGGUCACCAGGUCUCUUCUCCUCUCUGGUCUCCAAGCUCCUGUGUUUGUUUUGGGGUAUGGAGUGGGAAGAGCUGCCACCCCAGGGUACCACAGGCCUCAUUACCCAAAUAGAGUACAUAGCCCAUG